rnacentral:lncRNA from 1 species
AGGAUAAAGUGUAUCAAGUUAGCCCCUGUGGUUUCACAUUUUCUCACUUUAGUAUCCUGUAAUUUAAAGCGUAUCAAGUUAGUACCCUGUGGUUUCGCAAUUUCUCACUUUAGUACCUUAUGGUUUAAAGUGUAUUAAGUUAGUACCCUAUGGUUUCACAUUUUCUCACUUCAGUAUUCUGUAAUUUAAAGCGUAUCAAGUUAGUACCCUGUGAUUUCAUUUUUCUUUUUUUAUUAUCUAUUUUACUAAUUUUUUUCAUUAAAUCAGUGACAAAGUUAAAACUAAAAAGUACUAAAGUAAUUAUUCGAUAAACUUAGAUAGGAUAUUUGAAGUUUUUUUGUAUAUAAUUUAACGAAAUAUUAAUGGAGGAAAAAAAUCAGUGACAAAGUUA